AGUGAACGCUGGCGGUAGGCCUAACACAUGCCAGUCGAACGGCAGCACAGUAAGAGCUUGCUCUUACGGGUGGCGAGUGGCGGACGGGUGAGGAAUACAUCGGAAUCUACUUUUUCGUGGGGGAUAACGUAGGGAAACUUACGCUAAUACCGCAUACGACCUACGGGUGAAAGCAGGGGAUCUUCGGACCUUGCGCGAUUGAAUGAGCCGAUGUCGGAUUAGCUAGUUGGCGGGGUAAAGGCCCACCAAGGCGACGAUCCGUAGCUGGUCUGAGAGGAUGAUCAGCCACACUGGAACUGAGACACGGGCCAGACUCCUACGGGAGGCAGCAGUGGGGAAUAUUGGACAAUGGGCGCAAGCCUGAUCCAGCCAUACCGCGUGGGUGAAGAAGGCCUUCGGGUUGUAAAGCCCUUUUGUUGGGAAAGAAAAGCAGCAGGUUAAUACCCCGCUGUUCUGACGGUACCCAAAGAAUAAGCACCGGCUAACUUCGU
rnacentral:rRNA from 1 species